UUUUUUCGUCGACCUUUCUCUUUCUUUCUUUCACACCUGUGCACCCGUUGUAGGUCCUCGAAAGAGGAUCUAUGUUCUCUAUCACACCCGAUCGUCGUAUGUCCAUAGAAUGUAACGAAUAAAAUACAACUUUCAGCAACGGAUCUCUUGGCUCUCGCAUCGAUGAAGAACGCAGCGAAUUGCGAUAAGUAAUGUGAAUUGCAGAUUUUCAGUGAAUCAUCGAAUCUUUGAACGCACCUUGCGCUCCUUGGUAUUCCGAGGAGCAUGCCUGUUUGAGUGUCAUUGAAUUCUCAACCAUGUCUCGAUCGACUUCGAGGCAUGGCUUGGAGUUUGGGAGUUGCUGGCGUCAAGUCAGCUCUUCUGAAAUACAUUAGCGAUGGACGAGCAUGUCCUGAUGUGCACGGCCUACCGACGUGAUAAUGAUCGUCGUGGCUGGAGCGUUCGGACGUCGCAUCUUCAUGGUCUGUUUCGCUUCCAAUCGAGAGUACCCUUCGAACGCUUGACCUCAAAUCAGGUAGGACUACCCGCUGAACUUAA
rnacentral:misc_RNA from 1 species